rnacentral:rRNA from 1 species
GAUGAACGCUGGCGGCGUGCCUAAUACAUGCAAGUCGAGCGAACAGACGAGGAGCUUGCUCCUCUGACGUUAGCGGCGGACGGGUGAGUAACACGUGGAUCACCUACCUAUAAGACUGGGAUAACUUCGGGAAACCGGCGCUAAUACCGGAUAAUAUAUUGAACCGCAUGGUUCUAUAGUGAAAGACGGUUUUGCUGUCACUUAUAGAUGGUUCCGCGCCGCAUUAGUUAGUCGGUAAGGUAACCGCUUACUAAGGCAACGAUGCGUAGCCGACCUGUGAGCGUGGUCGCCCGCACAUGAACUGUAACGGACUCCUGUCACCUACGUGAGGGAUCAGACGGCAAUAUUCAGCAAUAGGAGAAAGCCUACCGGAGCUGAAGCAAUCGAGUUCUUAGUGACUACGGAUCGUAACACACUCUUAUUGGAGAAGAACAAAUUUGUAAGUUGCUAUACACGUCGUGACGGUACCUGAUCAGAAAGCCACGGCUAACUACGUG